rnacentral:rRNA from 1 species
UACAGAGGGGGCAAGCGUUAUUCGGAAUUAUUGGGCGUAAAGGGCGCGUAGGCGGCGAUUCAAGUGACGGGUGAAAUCCCUCGGCUUAACCGAGGAACUGCCUGUCAGACUGGAUUGCUUGAGGCCGGGAGAGGCGAGUGGAAUUCCCAGUGUAGCGGUGAAAUGCGUAGAUAUUGGGAGGAACACCAGUGGCGAAGGCGACUACCUGGCCUGUUCUUGACGCUGAGGCGCGAAAGCUAGGGGAGCAAACGGG